rnacentral:rRNA from 1 species
CGGAGGAUGCCUAGGCGCUAGGAGCCGAAGAAGGACGUGGCGAACAACGAAACUGCCUCGGGGAGCUGUAAGCAAGCUUCGAUCCGGGGAUGUCCGAAUGGGGAAACCCAGCUGAUGUAAUAGUCAGUUACCCGUAUCUGAAUACAUAGGAUAUGAGGAGGCAUACCCAGGGAACUGAAACAUCUAAGUACCUGGAGGAAGAGAAAACAAGAGUGAUUCCGUCAGUAGCGGCGAGCGAACGCGGAACAGCCUAAACCAGAGAGCUUGCUCUCUGGGGUUGUGGGACGUCUCACAUGGAGUUACAAAGGAACAUAUUAGACGAAGAGGUCUGGAAAGGCCCGCGAUACGAGGUAAAAGCCCUGUAGUCGAAAGUAUAUUCCCUCCGAGACGGAUCCCGAGUAGUGCGGGGCACGUGAAACCCCGUAUGAAUCCAGCAGGACCAUCUGCUAAGGCUAAAUACUCCCUAGCGACCGAUAGUGAAGCAGUACCGUGAGGGAAAGGUGAAAAGCACCCCGGAAGGGGAGUGAAAUAGAACCUGAAACCGUGUGCUUACAAGAAGUCAGAGCCCGAUCUAUGGGUGAUGGCGUGCCUUUUGUAGAAUGAACCGGCGAGUUACGUUCCCAUGCAAGGUUAAGGCGAGAAGCCGUAGCCGCAGCGAAAGCGAGUCUGAAUAGGGCGAUAUUAGUAUGUGGACGUAGACCCGAAACCGUGUGAUCUACCCCUGUCCAGGGUGAAGGUGCGGUAACACGCACUGGAGGCCCGAACCCACGUAUGUUGAAAAAUGCGGGGAUGAGGUGGGGGUAGCGGAGAAAUUCCAAUCGAACUCGGAGAUAGCUGGUUCUCCCCGAAAUAGCUUUAGGGCUAGCCUCGGAAUUGAGAGUCGUGGAGGUAGAGCACUGAUUGGGUGCGGGGCCCGCAAGGGUUACCAAGCUCAGUCAAACUCCGAAUGCCAUAGACUUAUAUCCGGGAGUCAGACAGUGAGUGCUAAGAUCCAUUGUCAAAAGGGAAACAGCCCAGACCAUCAGCUAAGGUCCCCAAGUGUGUGUUAAGUGGGAAAGGAUGUGGAGUUGCACAGACAACCAGGAUGUUGGCUUAGAAGCAGCCACCAUUUAAAGAGUGCGUAAUAGCUCACUGGUCGAGUGACUCUGCGCCGAAAAUGUAACGGGGCUAAACACACCACCGAAGCUAUGGCUUGA